rnacentral:rRNA from 1 species
UAAUACGUAGGUGGCAAGCGUUGUCCGGAUUUAUUGGGCGUAAAGCGCACGCAGGCGGUCGACUAAGUCCGAUGUGAAAUCUCUCGGCUUAACUGGGAGGAGUCAUCGGAUACUGGCCGGCUUGAGGAAGGUAGAGGAGAGUAGAAUUCCCGGUGUAGUGGUGGAAUGCGUAGAUAUCGGGAGGAAUACCAGUGGCGAAGGCGGCUCUCUGGGCCUUUCCUGACGCUGAGGUGCGAAAGCGUGGGGAGCGAACCGGAUUAGAUACCCGGGUAGUCCACGCCGUAAACGAUGGGUACUAGGUGUAGGGGGUAUCGACCCCCUCUGCGCCGAAGCUAACGCGAUAAGUACCCCGCCUGGGGAGUACGGCCGCAAGGCUA